UACAGAGGGGGCAAGCGUUGUUCGGAAUUACUGGGCGUAAAGGGCGCGUAGGCGGCCUUCUAAGUCGGACGUGAAAUCCCCGGGCUCAACCCGGGAACUGCGUCUGAUGCUGGAUGGCUUGAAUCCGGGAGAGGGAUGUGGAAUUCCAGGUGUAGCGGUGAAAUGCGUAGAUAUCUGGAGGAACACCGGUGGCGAAGGCGGCAUCCUGGACCGGUAUUGACGCUGAGGCGCGAAAGCCAGGGGAGCAAACGGG
rnacentral:rRNA from 1 species